rnacentral:snRNA from 1 species
AGUAUCUGUUCUUAUCAGCUUAAUAUCUGAUAGAGGCCCGAUAUGGAUCC